rnacentral:rRNA from 1 species
AGAAUCAACGCUGGCGGCGUGCCUAACACAUGCAAGUCGCACGAGAAAGGGUAGCAAUACCUGAGUAAAGUGGCGCACGGGUGAGUAACACGUGAAUUAUCUACCUCCGAGUGGGGAAUAACUGAGAGAAAUCUUAGCUAAUACCGCAUAACACCUACGAGUCAAAGCAGCAAUGCGCUUGGAGAGGAGUUCGCGGCCGAUUAGUUAGUUGGCGGGGUAAUGGCCCACCAAGACGAUGAUUGGUA